AUAUUCGGUGCUGUCAAAAUUAAAAAAAAAGUUUUGGCCGAUAAUUUAAAACGCGCAAGAGAAGCUCAGUGGCAAAAAAGAGCUCAAAUGCAGCAGGAGCAAGUAAAGGCAAAUGAAAAUAUUGCUUCUGAUUUAACAAAGGCACUGUGGGAUCGACGAUGUAAGGAAUAUUAGCCGAAGAACCGAUAACCGUUGGGGUAAACGAGUUCUAGAGUGGAGACCACGCCUCGGCAAACGUAGUGUAGGACGUCCUCAGGCACGGUGGAGUGAUGACUUGCGCAAGACGGCUGGCAGGAGCUGGAUGCGAGAAGCCGAAAAUCGAUCUCAGUGGCGUGCACUUGGAGAGGCCUAUGUCCAGCAGUGGACUGCGAUAGGCUGAUGAUGAUGAUGAUGAUUAUAUUUGAUUUCAAAUAAGUCUGAAAGUAUUACAUAGGUUCUACAGACAUCGUUCUAAAAUAUUAUUUCUAAUGUUGUCAGUGUAUUACUUUCGUAGUUAUUUUUAUAAAAUAUGUUCACUACUUCAAUCGUGACUUAUAAAGAACCAUUUUUAAUUC
rnacentral:lncRNA from 1 species